GACGAACGCUGGCGGCGUGCUUAACACAUGCAAGUCGAACGGAAAGGCCCUGCUUUUGUGGGGUGCUCGAGUGGCGAACGGGUGAGUAACACGUGAGUAACCUGCCCUUGACUUUGGGAUAACUUCAGGAAACUGGGGCUAAUACCGGAUAGGAGCUCCUGCUGCAUGGUGGGGGUUGGAAAGUUUCGGCGGUUGGGGAUGGACUCGCGGCUUAUCAGCUUGUUGGUGGGGUAGUGGCUUACCAAGGCUUUGACGGGUGGCCGGCCUGAGAGGGUGACCGGCCACAGUGGGACUGAGAUACGGCCCAGACUCCUACGGGAGGCAGCAGUGGGGAAUAGUGCACAAUGGGCGGAAGCCUUAUGCAGCAACGCCGCGUGCGGGAUGACGGCCUUCGGGGUGUAAACCGCUUUCGCCUGUGACGAAGCGUGAGUGACGGUAAUGUGUAAAGAAGCACCGGCUAACUACGUG
rnacentral:rRNA from 1 species